GAUGAACGCUGGCGGCGUGCCUAAUACAUGCAAGUCGAGCGAACGGACGAGAAGCUUGCUUUUCUGAUGUUAGCGGCGGACGGGUGAGUAACACGUGGAUAACCUACCUAUAAGACUGGGAUAACUUCGGGAAACCGGAGCUAAUACCGGAUAAUAUUUUGAACCGCAUGGUUCAAAAGUGAAAGACGGUCUUGCUGUCACUUAUAGAUGGAUCCGCGCUGCAUUAGCUAGUUGGUAAGGUAACGGCUUACCAAGGCAACGAUGCAUAGCCGACCUGAGAGGGUGAUCGGCCACACUGGAACUGAGACACGGUCCAGACUCCUACGGGAGGCAGCAGUAGGGAAUCUUCCGCAAUGGGCGAAAGCCUGACGGAGCAACGCCGCGUGAGUGAUGAAGGUCUUCGGAUCGUAAAACUCUGUUACUAGGGAAGAACAUAUGUGUAAGUAACUGUGCACAUCUUGACGGUACCUAAUCAGAAAGCCACGGCUAACUACGUG
rnacentral:rRNA from 1 species